rfam:TPA: Bos taurus chromosome 11, whole genome shotgun sequence.
UCCCUAAUAGCUCAGUUGGUAGAGAAUCUGCCUGAAGUGCAGGAGAGCCCGGUUCAAUUCCUGGAUCAGGAA